UACGAAGGGGGCUAGCGUUGUUCGGAAUCACUGGGCGUAAAGGGCGCGUAGGCGGCUUGUUAAGUCGGGGGUGAAAGCCUGUGGCUCAACCACAGAAUUGCCUUCGAUACUGUCGAGCUUGAGACCGGAAGAGGUAAGUGGAACUGCGAGUGUAGAGGUGAAAUUCGUAGAUAUUCGCAAGAACACCAGUGGCGAAGGCGGCUUACUGGUCCGGUUCUGACGCUGAGGCGCGAAAGCGUGGGGAGCAAACAGG
rnacentral:rRNA from 1 species